UUCCUACGGGGGGCAGCAGUGGGGAAUAUUGGUCAAUGGGCGCAAGCCUGAACCAGCCACGCCGCGUGAGUGAUGAAGGCCUUCGGGUUGUAAAGCUCUGUGGGGAGGGACGAAAACGGUCCGGAAGAAACGACGGAUCCUUGACGGUACCUCCUUAGCAAGCACCGGCUAACUCUGUGCCAGCAGCCGCGGUAAUACAGAGGGUGCGAACGUUGCUCGGAAUUACUGGGCGUAAAGCGCGUGUAGGCGGGAUGAUAAGUCGGAAGUGAAAUCCCCGGGCUCAACCCGGGAACUGCUUUCGAAACUGUCGUCCUCGAGUACCGGAGAGGGUGGCGGAAUUCCUGGUGUAGAGGUGAAAUUCGUAGAUAUCAGGAGGAACACCGGUGGCGAAGGCGGCCACCUGGACGGUCACUGACGCUGAGACGCGAAAGCGUGGGGAGCAAACAGGAUUAGAUACCCCAGUAGUC
rnacentral:rRNA from 1 species